rnacentral:rRNA from 1 species
UACGUAGGGAGCAAGCGUUGUCCGGAAUCAUUGGGCGUAAAGCGCGCGUAGGUGGCCUCAUAAGUCCGUUGUGAAAGUCAAAGGCUCAACCUUUGAAAGCCGAUGGAUACUGUGAGACUAGAGUACGGAGGAGGCGAGUGGAAUUCCUGGUGUAGCGGUGGAAUGCGCAGAUAUCAGGAGGAACACCAAUAGCGAAGGCAGCUCGCUGGGACGUUACUGACACUGAGGCGCGAAAGCGUGGGGAGCGAACAGG